GUGGGUGUAGCUCAGUGGUAGAGCACAUGCUUAGCAUGCACGAGGUCCUGGGUUCAAACCCCAGUGCCUCCA
rnacentral:tRNA from 1 species